rnacentral:rRNA from 1 species
GAUGAACGCUGGCGGCGUGCCUAACACAUGCAAGUCGAACGGAGUCCAGCCUUUAAGACCUUCGGGUCAAAGUGGGGCAGACUGAGUGGCGGACGGGUGAGUAACACGUGGGCAACCUGGCUCAUAGAGGGGGAUAACAGAGAGAAAUUUCUGCUAAUACCGCAUAAGCACACCCUGCCGCAUGGCAGAGGGUGAAAAGAGAAUCGCUAUGAGAUGGACCCGCGUCUGAUUAGCCAGUUGGCAGGGUAAGAGCCUACCAAAGCGACGAUCAGUAGCCGAUCUGAGAGGAUGAGCGGCCACAUUGGGACUGAGACACGGCCCAAACUCCUACGGGAGGCAGCAGUGGGGGAUAUUGCACAAUGGGGGGAACCCUGAUGCAGCGACGCCGCGUGAGUGAAGAAGUAUUUCGGUAUGUAAAGCUCUAUCAGCAGGGAAGAUAAUGACAGUACCGGAAGAAGAAGCCCCGGCUAACUACGUG